UCUAAAUAUGUGUGUCAAUUUCACUUUCUUUCCCUUCUUUUCUUUCCCAACCGAAACCCUAGUUAGUUUUUCAUCUGCAGAGCCAACUGUCCUGCUGAGCUCGUCGCUCGUCGUUUGGCCGCUGCUGCUGGUGCUCAUCGUUCGCAGCUGCUCCACUCUCACUCACUCAGCGCUAAGAGGCUUAGGUUUCUUCACCUGGUUAAACUCUCAGUUAAAUGCUGGGGAGGAGGCUUGAAGAAGCAGCAAAAAUUUGUCAAGACCCUUCUAAACCUCUCGGUAAUAAUAUAGCUCAGUGUGACUUAAUGUUUUCUGAGCUACAGUAGUUAGGCUUAGGAUUUAGUAAAUGGAGGUUAGAAGUUUAAUUUUAUUUGCUAUUAUAUAGUUUAUUAAUGCAUUUGGAUGUUAAAGUUUAAUUGUAUUUGCUAUUAUAAAUUUUAGGUCUAUUUGCUCCCAAAACUUGUUAAAGGAAUGUAUAUAUGUAUAUAUUGUUUGGUUCUAGGGGAAGUCUAUAAUUGGGCUUUUGUUAGGGCUUUUAAUAGAGUAGCCCAUGUUCUUGGGGCCCAGGCUUUGUCGUCUUCUUUUUUUUAUCUUGUGUUUGGACCUCAAAUCCUCCACUGUUGUUGUUGAAGUUUCUCUGGCAUGAUUUCCCUGCU